rnacentral:rRNA from 1 species
GGGGGAUAUUGCAAAAUGGAGGAAACUCUGAUGCAGCAACGCCGCGUGAGGGAAGAAGGUCUUCGGAUUGUAAACCUUUGUCCUUGGUGACGAAACAAAUGACGGUAGCCAAGGAGGAAGCUCCGGCUAACUACGUGCCAGCAGCCGCGGUAAUACGUAGGGAGCAAGCGUUGUCCGGAUUUACUGGGUGUAAAGGGUGCGUAGGCGGCUCUGCAAGUCAGGCGUGAAAACUAUGGGCUUAACCCAUAGACUGCGUUUGAAACUGUGGGGCUUGAGUGAAGUAAAGGUAGGCGGAAUUCCCGGUGUAGCGGUGAAAUGCGUAGAGAUCGGGAGGAACACCAGUGGCGAAGGCGGCCUACUGGGCUUUAACUGACGCUGAGGCAUGAAAGCGUGGGGAGCAAAC